rnacentral:rRNA from 1 species
GUAGGUGACCUGCGGAAGGAUCAUUACCAYACVAMMAAAAAUAUCCACGUGAAUGUAUUCUUUAUGAGGCUUGUGCUUGGUCUUGUGCCAGGCUAGCCGAAGGUUUCGAAAGAAACCGAUGUACCUUUUAAUCCCUUUUAAAACAAAUAUACUGAUCAUAACUUAGCCAUCAGAAAUGAUUGCUUGUAAUUUAAAUACAACUUUCAACAGUGGAUGUCUAGGCUCGCACAUCGAUGAAGAACGCUGCGAACUGCGAUACGUAAUGCGAAUUGCAGAAUUCAGUGAGUCAUCGAAAUUUUGAACGCAUAUUGCACUUUCGGGUUAGUCCUGGAAGUAUGUCUGUAUCAGUGUCCGUUUAUACAAACUUGUUUUAUCUUUUUUGAUGAAACAGAAUGUGAAGGUCUUGUUUCGGCAAGUCCUUUUAAAUGACGGUCCCUGUAUAGCAUGUUCAAGUACAUUAUAUAAAGGGUGAUGCGAUUCUUAUUUCGAAUGUUUUGUGUUGAUAUUGCACAACUUUUGAAAGAAGAAUAAAUUGCGGUAGUUUUGCUUGUGUUUCGGCACAGGUAAACAUCAUAUUGCUUUUUAUUUCAUCUGGACAAAGUUGGUAGUAGAAGACAAAAUGCGGAUAAAGAUAGUAUCUAUCUGGUGUGCUUGAAUCUAUAUGGAAGCAAAUUGGGAAACAACAUCCAAUUUGGACCUGAUAUCAGACAAGACUACCCGCUGAAUUUAAGCAUAUCAAUAAGCG